AGACUUUUUUGACCUAGGUGACUUCUCUUCUCAGUGACAAUACCUCCUGCUACACUGAAGGUCCUUUCUGACAGGACACUUGAAGCGGGGCAGGCCAGAAGUUCUAUCGCAAAUUGGGAUAGCUCAGGCCACAGGUCAAGCCUGCACACCCAGUAGUCAAGGGGUUCAUCGCUCCUCAGAGUGUCGAUAUCUGCAGUUCCAACGUGUUGGGCUGUCGCAAAUCAAGCGCCUCACUGGCAUGUUUUUUCGCCGCUGGAUAU